rnacentral:rRNA from 1 species
CUGGAAUAAAAGUAGUUAAGUUCUCCAUAACUCAAAGAAUUUGGCGGUUGAUGGAAUUUUUAGAGGAACCUGUAAUUUAAUUGAUAAACCACGAUAGUUUAUACCUCUUAUUUAUUUGUAUAUCUCUAUGGUUUACAGAAUGUUUUUAAAGGAGAAAUUUUCUUUAAAAUUAAUUAUGUAUUUUAGGUCAAGGUGCAGUUUUUGAAUGGUUAUUAUGGGUUACUUUAUUUUUAAUUAUUUAUUUAUAAUUUUAUAGUUGUUAGGAUUUAAAAGUAAAUUAAAUUAAUUUAUUUAUUUGAAUUUU